rnacentral:lncRNA from 1 species
GAAUCUUCUGAAAUGUCUGCCGAAUGCCUGACACUGAAGUGAUAUAAGACCUGCAUUAGAAGAGCUUCAUCUGAGUGUAAUAUGCUGCCCUGGGAGGGUGAGUGCUCAAUGAGACCCGGCAUACAGCAUCAACAGCACCUUUUUGGCUCAAUCAUAAGCAUUCAUGCUUGAAGAGGCUGAGUAUGCAAAUGUCAUUGGAAAAAGAAGAGAGACAAGAAACACUGAAGACAACCAUGAGAUACUAAGAACGAGUUAAAAGAGAUAAAAGCGUGCAAAUGCCAAACAGAAGCUGAAAUAUUGAAGGAUUCUGAAGGAUUAAGGUCUUCAUGUGUGGUGCAAACAUUUGAAGCAAAUGCAACAGAAUUGCCCCGAGUCUGCUCAAGAGCCCAUCGCUGCUUCCUAUGUGGUCACACUACAAAGUCAAACUAAUAAUAAUGUAUGGUUGGUUACCCUUCUGAAAAUAACUGCAAGUAUUGAGUGCUGUCAUCAUGGAGAACCCAGACCUCCUGAAGUAAGAGGGAAAAUUGAAUUGACUCGCAGGAGGCCAGAAUGCCACCCACAGAGGUGCUUGAUUGCCAGAAAAUGCUGAGUUCCUGCUACCUGGAAUCAUUGGUGUCUGAUAUCCAGCAUCGUACUGAAAGUGCUAGUUUUCAUCUAGUAACUGAUGGGAGUAAUGCUCUGAGAAAUACCUGAGCCACUGCUUUUCCAGGUAAAUUCUAAUACCUUAUAAGAAGAAAUAUACUAUUAGUACUGUAUGGGAAAUUCAAGCUAAAUGUUAACUUUUUAUGUUUCUGUGUUUCACUGGCACAGGCUCCCAGAGAGGUGGUGGAGUCCCUGUCCCUGGAUGUGUUCAGGAACUGUGGAGGGACAUGGUUAGUGGGCAUGGUGGGGGUGGGUUGAUGGUUGGACUUGGUGGUCUCAGAGGUCUUUUCCAACCUUGAUUAUUCUGUAAUUCUGAAAAUAGUGUUUUGUAGCUGAGAAUU